AACCAUUGAACACAAUAAGAAAAUUAAAUUCAGUAAAUAUUAACAACUUUGCUUAGUAGUGGCAACGUGCAAUUUCUAAAUUUAUGCAUUAAUUUCAUGCAUCCCAUCAGGAAGUUCAAUUAUCUUAUAAGACAACAUUACUUAUUUAUGUUUACGACUUAUAAUUGUAGGGCAAUACUACAUACUUACAAUUCUUGAAACAAUUAAAUCAUUUCCCAAAUAAGGAAGAUAGGAUAAAUACAAUCCUAUGGUUCUAAUCAUAAUUUAUCAGCAAUAAUCAAGAAUAUCUAGGGUAAACUCAGUUUAUAGUUUGAAUAGUUACACAUAAUGCAUUCACACGAAUUUCAUAAUUUAACUUUUUGAUGCAUUUUCUAAACUUUCAAGUAACUCUUCUAGAAAUUUAUACGCUAAUUUUUCUCAAUAUUAAUUGGAUUCUCAAUAUAAAAGCACUAGAAUGCAAACACACACUCUUUGUACCUUAUCUUCCUCCUAUUAAUUUUGAGUUUUUUUGUCAAAAACAUCCCAUCUGUGUCUUCAACUUCUAAUUCUUCCUCUUGCUCUUCAAUUCCACAAACAGUUGUUUAAUACUGAAAACCACAAGUUUUUUUCUUCAAUUAAAGCCCAAACUACCUCUGAUUUUCCUAAUCAAAUAAGCGCUUGCUAGAAACCUAUUCCCUUUCUAACCUUGAAAGUUUUCAUAUUCCUCCAUCUUGUUUCUCAACAAAUCUAUGUCUUUUCCUCCAACAUCUACUAUAGCCAAAUUCAAGCCUUAGCCCUGAAAAUCCUUUCCCUAUUAUUUAUCUGCUCCAGCCCUAGACCACCAAUAAGCAAAUGUGAAAAGUUCUCCAAAUCUGUCUUCAUCUCAUAUACUGAUAGAAGAUGCUAUCCCAUGUCAUCUGCAUCCCAAAUCUAAAAUUGCAAUAUGAUGCGUACAUGCGUGCUUUAAAAGCAACAGUUCUCCGCUAAAUGCAUGCAGAUUCUCACACCGUUUCAAUACCAAUCACCUUCAGCCUUUAGUUUUUUCAGUUCAAAAAUUGUAGAGAGAGAGAGAGAGAG
rnacentral:misc_RNA from 1 species